AAACGACUCUCGGCAACGGAUAUCUUGGCUCUCGCAUCGAUGAAGAACGUAGCAAAAUGCGAUACGUGGUGUGAAUUGCAGAAUUCCGUGAACCAUCGAGUUUUUGAACGCAAGUUGCGCCCGAAGCCCUCGGGUCAGGGCACGCCUGCCUGGGCGUCACGC
rnacentral:rRNA from 1 species